GGAUGCGAUCAUACCAGCACUAAAGCACCAGAUCUCAUCAGAACUCCAAACUUAAGCGUGCUUGGGCGAGAGUAGUACUAGGAUGGGUGACCUCCUGGGAAGUCCUCGUGUUGCAUUCC
rnacentral:rRNA from 1 species